UACGUAGGGACCGAGCGUUGUCCGGAAUCAUUGGGCGUAAAGAGCGUGUAGGCGGCCACUUAAGUCCUGCGUGAAAUCUUGCGGCUCAACCGCAAGCGGUCGUGGGAAACUGGGUGGCUAGAGUGCGGGAGAGGAGAGUGGAAUUCCUGGUGUAGCGGUGGAAUGCGCAGAUAUCAGGAGGAACACCUGUGGCGAAGGCGGCCAUCUGGACGGUAACUGACGCUGAGACGCGAAAGCGUGGGUAGCAAACAGG
rnacentral:rRNA from 1 species